rnacentral:rRNA from 1 species
UACGUAGGGUGCGAGCGUUGUCCGGAUUUAUUGGGCGUAAAGAGCGUGUAGGCGGCUUUACGGGUCCGUUGUGAAAACUCGAGGCUCAACCUGGGAAUGGCGAUGGAUACUGGCUCGCUAGAGUGCGGUAGAGGAGAGUGGAAUUCCCGGUGUAGCAGUGAAAUGCGUAGAGAUCGGGAGGAACAUCAGUUGCGAAGGCGGCUCUCUGGACCAGCACUGACACUGAGGCACGAAAGCGUGGGGAGCAAACAGG